UACGUAGGGUGCGAGCGUUGUCCGGAAUUAUUGGGCGUAAAGAGCUCGUAGGCGGUUUGUCGCGUCGACUGGUGAAAAACUGGGGGCUUAACUCUCAGCUUGCAGUUGAUACGGGCGGGCUAGAGUUCGGGUAGGGGAGUCUGGAAUUCCUGGUGUAGCGGUGAAAUGCGCAGAUAUCAGGAGGAACACCGAUGGCGAAGGCAGGACUCUGGGCCGAUACUGACGCUGAGGAGCGAAAGCGUGGGGAGCAAACAGG
rnacentral:rRNA from 1 species